rnacentral:rRNA from 1 species
GUUAUAGGGACAAGCGAAUAAGUGCACAUGGUGGAUGCCUUGGCGAUUACAGGCGAUGAAGGACGUAGU